GUCUGCGGCCACGCCACCCUGAACGAGCCGAAUCCCGUCAGAUCUCGGAAGCUCAGCAGGGUCGGGCCGGGUUAGUACUUGGAUGGGAGACCCCCUAGGAAGACCAGGUGCUGUGGGCA
rnacentral:rRNA from 1 species